rnacentral:rRNA from 1 species
CGGUAAUACCAGCUCUCCGAGUGGUGAGGACGAUUAUUGGGCCUGAAGCAUCCGUAGCCGGCUGGGCAAGUCCCCUGUUAAAUCCAGCGAUCUAAUCGUUGGCCUGCGGGAAAUACUGUUUGGCUAGGGGGCGAGAGAGGCCAACGGUAUUUCCGGGGUAGGGGUGAAAUCUUAUAAUCCCGGGAGGACCACCAGUGGCGAAGGCUGUCGG